AGAGUUUGAUCCUGGCUCAGAUUGAACGCUGGCGGAAUGCUUUACACAUGCAAGUCGAACGGCAGCACGGGAGCUUGCCCCUGGUGGCGAGUGGCGAACGGGUGAGUAACACAUCGGAACAUGCCUAGUCGUGGGGGAUACCGUAGCGAAAGUUACGUUAAUACCGCAUACGUCCUGAGGGAGAAAGCAGGGGAUCGAUCACUGAGCGCAUUGACGCAGUCAAUAAAGCUGCUUAGUGCAUUGAGUGAUCGACCUUGCGCGAUUAGAGUGGCCGAUGGCUGAUUAGCUAGUUGGUGGGGUAAAGGCCUACCAAGGCGACGAUCAGUAGCGGGUCUGAGAGGAUGAUCCGCCACACUGGAACUGAGACACGGUCCAGACUCCUACGGGAGGCAGCAGUGGGGAAUUUUGGACAAUGGGGGCAACCCUGAUCCAGCCAUUCCGCGUGAGUGAAGAAGGCCUUCGGGUUGUAAAGCUCUUUCAGCGGGAACGAAACGGUGCGCUCUAACAUAGCGUAUUAAUGACGGUACCCGCAGAAGAG
rnacentral:rRNA from 1 species